UUGUACGCGAAUAUUAGCUGCAAUGGGCGGAGAGCCUGACCCAGCCAUGCCGCGUGCAGGAAGAAGGCCCUACGGUUUGUAAACUGUUUUUCUGGGGAAGAAAAUGAGAGUACCCGUAAACGAUUGCCGGGAUCAUGCGAAGAAACCUCGGCUAGCUCUGUGCCAGCAGCCGCGGUAAUUAAUAA
rnacentral:rRNA from 1 species